AUACAACCGAAGUAAUUUCGACGAAAUGCCAGUGUUUUUACGCAACAGAGUGGUGGGUAUCAGCUGUUGAAUCUUAAUACCGUGAUCGAUAGCAUUUAACUGGUAGCAUGUUUCUAAGAGGGAAGAGAAGAUUCGGGUAUCGACUUUUAUGCCCUUUUCAACAGAGGAUUCAAGGUCUUUAACGACGUUGUCUAAGGCUUGUAGUUUAGUCAGGGUAUGAGGUUUGCGGUUGAUCAGUAGUGGAGUUGGGGAUGAAUUUGGGAAAGAAAGGACGGUGCUUUUUCUGUUCUGGUGGAAUUGUUUGUGUCUUCGUUCUAUCUGUUUCUGCUNNNUCUCUUGCUUCUGGAAGCAUAGAGAAGGGUCACUGAAGCCAUGUGGAAACUUGGUGGUUCAGGAAUGGUCACCAUCCUUGCAAGGGAAGACGAGAAAUGGCA
rnacentral:misc_RNA from 1 species